rnacentral:rRNA from 1 species
AUUGAACGCUGGCGGAAUGCUUUACACAUGCAAGUCGAACGGCAGCACGGACUUCGGUCUGGUGGCGAGUGGCGAACGGGUGAGUAAUGUAUCGGAACGUGCCCAGACGUGGGGGAUAACGUAGUGAAAAUUACGCUAAUACCGCAUACGAUCGAGGGAUGAAAGAGGGGGAUCGCAAGCCGUAGUGGGGUUGGAGCGGCCGAAAUCAGAGUAGGUGAGUGGAGGGGUAAACGCCGACCAAGCCAACGAUCUGUAGCUGGUCUGAGAGGACGACCAGCCACACUGGAACUGAGGCACGGUCCAGACUCCUACGGGAGGCAGCAGUGGGGAAUUUUGGACAAUGGGCGAAAGCCUGAUCCAGCCAUUCCGCGUGCAGGAUGAAGGCCCUCGGGUUGUAAACUGCUUUUGCACAGAACGAAAAGGUUUCUACUAAUACUAGGAGCUCAUGACGGUACUGUAAGAAUAAGCACCGGCUAACUACGUGCCAGCAGCCGCCGUAA